rnacentral:rRNA from 1 species
AUGGAUCUUACAAGCCAGGCAAUCAAUGAACUUAAGGAGAAGAAGCAUCAUCUUGAGGAGCAGGCAAAGAUUGGGGUUCAAAUGGAGAUGCUUAAGCUCAAGAAAGAACAGAGGUGCAUCCUGCAGAGUCAAGCUGAUAUCAUUCAAAACACCAGGAAAGCCAUGAAGGAGAUACAAGUGGAGAGAGACCUACUUAAAGAAGAGAAGAAGAAGCUGGAGCAUAUCAUUGCUGAUCUCUUGAAGGCUAGUCAUGGGUGCAAAGAGAAGCUAGACAAGAUCAAAGAAGUUGUCAUGGAGGAGUGA